AAAGCAGAGGGCAGGGGACGACUCACAUCACCAUCAGGCAGCUCCAGAACGUUCCUUGGCUCCCACAUCAUUGAGUCAAUCUGCGGCCCAAUCCAGGACAACGGGAGCCCGUGGUCAGGAGACAAGGAAAGUUCUGGAAGUCUGGGGUGUCCUUUGCCUACACAGAUGCCUGCCCUGCACAAGUCCUAUCAGAGCCUUGCUACUCCGCUAACCUUUGAAAGCAUCCUCGUGCACAGUUAAUAAACAGGGAUGUUUCAGAUUUUAUUUUUAAGUAACCUCUACACCCAACAUGGGACUCGAACUCACAAGAGGUGAACUCAAGAGGUGCAUGGCUCUACCGACGAGACAGAUUUUAGCUGAACCCACGAUCAUCCAGAACAAAGCCAUUUUGCAACCUUGCCUGCAUCACAGCUGGACCGAAAAGAAGACUGGGAAGCAAGACAGAUGAAGCACAUCUCUUCCUACAGAACUCCUUUCUAUGUUUGUUGAUUUCACAUCAAUUACCAGCCUCCCUUUCCUCAUCUCCCAGUUCCCCACAGGAAUAUUUAUGUCUGUUUUAUUGUGUUUUUAUGUUUGCAAAUACAGUAAAACCUUGGAUUGUGAGUAACUUGUUCUUCAAAUGCUCUCCAAGACGAGCAAGCAUUUCUAAUAAAUUUUAA